rnacentral:rRNA from 1 species
UACGUAGGGUGCAAGCGUUGUCCGGAAUUAUUGGGCGUAAAGAGCUCGUAGGCGGUUUGUCGCGUCUGCUGUGAAAACUCGGGGCUUAACCCCGGGCCUGCAGUGGGUACGGGCAGACUAGAGUGCGGUAGGGGAGACUGGAAUUCCCGGUGUAGCGGUGAAAUGCGCAGAUAUCGGGAGGAACACCGGUGGCGAAGGCGGUUCUCUGGGCAUUACCUGACGCUGAGGAGCGAAAGUGUGGGGAGCGAACAGG